rnacentral:rRNA from 1 species
GGGUCCGGACACACUGAGGAUUGACAGGCAAAUAAUAUACAUAAACUAUAUUAUAAAUAUGCUAGUCCUUUCAUGAUUAUGUGAUAGGUGGUGCAUGGCCGUUCUUAGUUCGUGGAGUGAUCUGUCUGCUUAAUUGCGUUUCACCAUAGGGUCUAUCAAAUUAAAAAUAGUUACGUAUGUUUAGCGGCGCUUUGACCCCUGUUUCAACAACAGCGCGUGUCUUUGUUAGCUUUUAGCUUAAUCAUACAUUCUAAUAAUAGACUCUGAAAGCAACGAACGUGACCGCAACCUCUUGUUGCCUGGAAACCAAACAAACAAACUAGCCAGGCUUAUAUGCACACACUACUCGUAUGCAUUAAACUAGAGGGACCGCUGUUACUUUCUUAAACCAGAGGAAGGUUGCGGCAAUAACAGGUCUGUGAUGCCCUUAGAUGUUCCGGGCUGCACACGUGCUACAAUGAUCAUUGCAGUGAGCAUCUCAUUUUAAAUUUAUUUACACACCGCUUUGCGUGAGCGAUAUUUAUUUAUCUCUGCGCUCGGAUGAGUGGUAAAGCCUGCUUCGAAAGUAAGUGGGU